CCCUUAGAUGUUCUGGGCCGCACGCGCGCUACACUGACGAAUGCAACGAGCUUAUAACCUUGUCCGAAAGGUCUGGGUAAUCUCCAAAUUUCGUCGUGAUGGGGAUAGAUUAUUGCAAUUAUUAAUCUUCAACGAGGAAUGCCUAGUAAGCGCAAGUCAUCAGCUUGCGUUGAUUACGUCCCCGCCCUUUGUACACACCGCCCGUCGCUCCUACCGAUUGAAUGGUCCGGUGAAGCGUUCGGACCGUGGCCUUUGGACGGUUCGCCGUCUGUUGGCUGCGGGAAGUUCGUUAAACCUUAUCAUUUAGAGGAAGGAGAAGUCGUAACA
rnacentral:rRNA from 1 species